rnacentral:rRNA from 1 species
CAAUUGGAGGGCAAGUCUGGUACGUAGCAAGGCAGGCAGCAACCAUGGGCGCUACCACCAGAAAGAGAACCAAGAAGAAUCCAUCAAAGCGAAGCACAUGGACCACUCACUCACGCAAUCCACUUCACCUUCACCUUCACCUUCACCUUCACUUCACCUUCACUUCACCUUCGCUUUUCAAUCACUUCUCCCCCAUCUCCCACACCAUCACAUCACCUCGCUCCUUGCCAUCUUGCAGGUGCCAGCAGCCGCGGUAAUUCCAGCUCCAAUAGCGUAAGUAACAGACACAGACAGAACACACCAUCUCGCUGACCAACAGCGCAGCAAUGCAAUGAACGAGAUGCACACACACGCGCAAUCCACUCACACAAUCACAUCCCCCACCCACCUUCUCUUCACCACCAACCCACCAAACAACAACCCAACAACCCACAGGUAUAUUAAUGUUGUUGCAGUUAAAAAGUUCGUAGUUGGAUUUUUGGCAGACGCGGACGGCCUGACACUCAGUGUUUGUGCUUCUUGUCCGCGUCGCCAUCCUUGGGUGGAGCCUGUGUGGCAUUAGGUUGUCGUGCAGGGGAUGCCCAUCAUUUACUGUGAGAAAAUAAGAGUGUUCAAAGCAGGCUUAUGCCGUUGAAUUUGUUAGCAUGGAAUAAUAAGAUAGGGCUUCGGAGCUAUUUUGUUGGUUUGCGCGCUGAAGUAAUGAUUAAAAGGAACAGUUGGGGGCAUUCGUAUUCCACUGUCAGAGGUGAAAUUCUUGGAUUUUUGGAAGACGAACGACUGCGAAAGCAUCUGCCAAGGUAAGUUUCAAGUCACUGGCACAGUCACAGGCAUAUGACCCCUGCCCCCAGUUGAAGGGAGGAGGAGAAGCAGCGAAAUUAUCCCCUGCAGCGAUCAAUCACACUCAUACUCACACUCACACUCACUCUCUCUUCUUCUCUUCCAAACUUGCCACCAACGUCAUUGAUCAACAGUAUGUUUUCAUUAAUCAAGAUCGAAAGUCAGGGGAUCGAAGAUGAUCAGAUACCAUCGUAGUCUUGACCAUAAACUAUGCCGACAAGGGAUUGGUGGAGUUUCGUUUAGUCUUCAUCAGCACCUUACGAGAAAUCACAAGUUUUUGGGCUCCGGGGGGAGUAUGGUCGCAAGGCUGAAACUUAAAGAAAUUGACGGAAGGGCACCACCAGGUACGUUUUUCAUUCUUGCUCUCAAUCACUUGCUGUCACAGGCUGUUCUUUCCCCCACCACUUAUGGCCUUUCCCACUGCAGCAAUGACCAGCAAAUGACCAGCAAAUGACCAACAAAUCAACUCACAUAAGUAAUUUCUCCGCUUUCGUUCCAUUCUCUCCCUCGACCUACCUCCCAACACAAACACAACACACGAUGAACCGUUGAUGAACUGCAGGAGUGGAGCUUGCGGCUUAAUUUGACUCAACACGGGAAAACUUUCCAGGUCCAGACAUAGUGAGGAUUGACAGAUUGAGAGCUCUUUCUUGAUUCUAUGGUUGGUGGUAAGUACGCAGCAGUGGCAGACGACGAUGACAACGAUGACAACGAUGACGACGACGAUAUGUGGCAAGAAUGACUGCACGAGCAAGCAGCAGCAGCAGCAACGGCAACUGACACACACAUUCCCCAUUCCUUCUCUCCUCCUCCUUCUCCUUGAAUGAUGACUCUGAAUGAACAACAACACACAGGUGCAUGGCCGUUCUUAGUUCGUGAAUUGAUUUGUCUGGUUUAUUCCGAUAACGAACGAGACCCCUGCCUGCUAAAUAGCAUGCCGAAUGAAUCUUCAUUGGGUGAUGCUUCUUAGAGGGACGUGCAUUCUAUUAGAUGCAGGAAGAUAGGGGCAAUAACAGGUAAGAAUGAAUGAGUGAAUGAGUGACUGUUAUUGAAUUGAAUGAAUGACUGCUGUGGUUGAAUUGUGACCGACGAUGGGCUGUGAAUGUCAAUGUUGAACCUUGACUCACAUAUAAAUGCAAC